UACUAUUUAGGCACAAGUUAGGAGUGAGUGAUCGUGUUAAUUGUUUUUUUUUUCUUAAUACGAGUUUACAAGUUACUUCAGGUGAAAUUGAUAUUGAAAAGUGCAUCUUAUUGGGUGAUUUUUAAUGAAAUGUGUGUAGUUGCAUUUACAAAAUAAAAUAGAAAAGGAUGUGUGUAUUCACUAAAGUGUAAAUAUUCAUUUUCCGAGAUUGUGGAUUUAUUUAUUCGUGGAUUGAUUACCAGUUGAUGUGGGCUUUAUUGCACACCACAGUUGAAGGCAACAUUUGGACAUAUAUUUACAAGAAGCGAGUCUGGCCCACUCGCCGCUCCAACACAUAUUUUCAAUCCGAUUUUCCACGACUUCCAACGACACUCAGCUUCAGAUGAUGCUGUUUCUGAACCACUUGACCGGCACAAAAGUUGGGAUCUCGGCCAUGAAGCUUUUUGUCGUCGACUAGCCGACCAUUUUGACGUAAACCCGGGAAGUGCAGCAUAUAAAGGCGAGUUACGGAAAACGCGUGCAUCAUGCACCUUUUCAGGCCACCCUCAAUACAAAUCUGUGCAACGCCUGUCUUCUCAAGAAAAAAGGGCUUGCAAGAUUAUUGAAUAGUGUCCUUUUCUAUUGAAGUAGUCUGGAGACCUUUUCAUUGGUGCCGACAUUUUUAUGUGCGCCCCAUCUAUUGCUCCCCAAGACUCCAGGGAAGCCUGUCUUAGUUUGAAAUGUAUCAAUCACAGUCUGCUUGUCAUUGUUUGAUGGCCAACAUAUUACUGUCUUAAGAAGACUGUCUAAGAAAGUUGACUUUGAUACGUUAAAACGGUCUGCAAUAGACCUUACUGUCUCUAAAUUACCCAAAUACCAAAGCGUUAUUAGUAAGUCCUUAUCCAAUGGAACUUUUUAACGAACCCCAGUUGCAAUUCUUCUACGAAGCUGAUCAUCAGUUGAAAUUCUCUCCAGAACUCUUUCAAAAGUACCCCUUGACAUGCGAAAAAAAGGUCUUAAAGUCAUCUGGGAGGUACUGAGGUACUGUGACUUCAACGUAGUUGGCCUCUUUCGGGACAUCAUCUCUGCAGCUGAAAAUAAACCAAAUGACUAGUUAGUAGUUAUUAAAUGGAUUUUGUUAAACGCCUGUUAUAUUGCUUUGAUUACAUCAAGCUUAUUAAUACCUUAAAACUCAAUAUGACUUUUGUGCUUAGUAAUCUUUAUUACUUGUUCAGAGCAUUUUCAUCCCAGGACCCUAAUACAACCCUGUGCCAUUAAAAUUGCAAUAAUUAUUCAAAUAAAACUCAAAUUUGAGUUUAGAUGUUUGUUUUCAUGGCUAUGUUAACAUCACAGGGCUUAAGCGUGGUCCUUAGAUGUUAGGGAG